UCGAGUAUCAAAAUUACUUACUCAAUAUGUAGAGGAUAGAAAAUUCGAGGGUCAGGAGAGAUGAUUAUGGAGUAAACAUCCAGGAUUAUUUUCAAAAUAUGAGAUAGUUAUGAAUUACCUUGAAAAGAACAAGUGGCGUCUUUCAGAUUGGUGGCCGCCAAUUUCACCGGAGAGACACUGGAGGCUAGAUUUUGAAGCUGUAAGAGAAAGAAGGGCCUUCACACUUGAACACAGCUUUAUUUCAGGAUCAGUUUCAUGCUUUUUAUUUCAGGUUGGUCAGUUUUGGGGAGAGUGAACAUAAAUCGACCUCACCCACAUAAGUUAAAUUGUAAAUUUUCCAGUUUAUUAUUAGCCUCAGGUCAAUUUUUUGGUAGGUAAAAGAUAUAUCUUCCCGUCAAAUUUUGC
rnacentral:lncRNA from 1 species